UACGGAGGGUGCAAGCGUUGUUCGGAAUCACUGGGCGUAAAGGGCGUGUAGGCGGUCCGCUAAGUCUGAUGUGAAAGCCCGAGGCUUACCCUCGGAAGUGCAUUGGAGACUGGCGGACUGGAGUCCCGGAGAGGAGGGUGGAAUUCCUGGUGUAGCGGUGAAAUGCGUAGAUAUCUGGAGGAACACCGGUGGCGAAGGCGGCAUCCUGGACCGGUAUUGACGCUGAGGCGCGAAAGCUAGGGGAGCAAACGGG
rnacentral:rRNA from 1 species